UAUUUUAACAUUUAUUUUUAUUUAUGUGCAUAUUUGUUUAUUCAUGUGUGUGCCAUGUACACAGGUGCCCUAGGUGGUCAGCUGGAGUUAUGGCAGCUGCGAGAGAGUUGACAUGGGUGCUGGGAACAGAAAACAAGACCCCUGGAGGAGGGGCAAGUGAUCCUAACUGCUGAGCUAUUUCUCCAGCCUCCAGUUAAAAUUCUUAAUAAUGUAUCUGUAUUAUUUAAUAAGCUGUGUAUUUUUGAGCCAUGGCACCUUCAGAGACCAUGCAGUAGCAAGUAGAGGCCUCUUCUAUCCCCUCCACCUACUUACUAGCAACAAUAUUGAUCUUUUCAGUGCUAAGGAUCAAAUCCAGGGCCCCGAGGGGUGUUCUGCCACUAUAGACCCAGACACUUUUAAUAACAAUAAUUUAUUAUUGCUUGGUUUGAUACAGGGCCUUAAUAUGUAGAUUUGGCUGACCUAGGACCUGCCAGACAGACCAGGCUGGCACAAAUUCAUGCCUGUCCUCCUGUCUUUACCUCUCAAGUGCUGGGAUGAUAGUUCUGUGUCACCAUUUCCAACCUCAAUAAUAUUAAUUUUUCUCAAGAAUAAUUUCACAACAAAAUUGCCCUAUGGAUUUUCUAAGUCAGGGAUUUUCUAUAUGACACUAAUUGAAAUCGACUGGAUAGUUAAACAGGCGGUUUUAGACUUAGUCCUAUUGAGAAUCAGAGUGAGCCAUGGCCUGGGACAACAGUAAAUUACCUUGGAAUAGUCUGUGAAUAGCCUGACAUUUGAUUCUUUUUUGAGCAUGGAGAACACUUUUUGUUAGUUUACUUACUCAGUAAUAGACUCUUUUGAAAAGCUGGCACCCAGAUGUCAAGAUGCAUUCUUAAUUUUUUUUUUAAAGGUUCAUUUUGUUUUUCUAAGACUCCACGUUUAAAACACCAUCUGUAAACCUGCAUUGCAUGAAGGUCUUUUUGGGUGAGAGCUCUCAGAAGGAAUAGACACGGAUGUCUUCACUACAUCUCAGUAGCUUUACCACGAUUUGCUGUGUAACUGUGGACACACUGAUGCUCUUCCUGAGCACAGACGGUAUCCGGUAUUCCUAUGAUGGGGAGAACAGUGCUGAAGGGGCUGUAGGUACACGCCCCCUCUCCCUCACCUCUGCUGUAGGUACACGCCCCCUCUCCCUCACCUCUAUUCUAGGUGACUGGAAGUUUGUGGGAAGGAGCAACGAGAGGGAUAAUGGAAUGCCUGUGAUCUGAAGGUGGGCGGGCCAAAUGAGAAAGGAAAGCCGCAAUGAUGGUGGGACAUAUGGGGCACAAGGUAGACAGUGGGUGAAGGGGACAAAUUAGAACACGAUGCCAUGGACACAAGUGUAAUGAAAAUGCCGUGGUGAAACCUAUUGUUUUGUAUGCUAAAUUAGUUAAAAACAAAACAAAACAACAAAAAACAAUAAACCUAGUAAGCAUG
rnacentral:lncRNA from 1 species